GUGAUGUAUGAAGUCAUAGCAAAAGAAUUGAAAGCCAUGAAUCUUGAGAAUGUACAUCCACAAGAAUACCUGAAUUUUUAUUGUCUCGGUAAUAGGGAAGAACCAUCCAAAGAAUUGUUGGAUUUAAGUGAUAAGGCUCGCAAUUCUGGAGAAGUGGUUUUAACCUGUCAAGAGCAUCGACGUUUUAUGAUUUAUGUACAUGCCAAGGGAAUGAUAGUAGAUGAUGAGUAUGUUAUAUUGGGCUCUGCUAAUAUUAAUCAACGGUCUAUGGCUGGUUCAAGAGAUACUGAGAUAGCAAUGGGAGCAUCCCAGCCGAGUCACACUUGGG
rnacentral:misc_RNA from 1 species